GUAGGUGGCAAGCGUUGUCCGGAAUUAUUGGGCGUAAAGCGCGCGCAGGCGGGGUCCUUUAAGUCUGAUGUGAAAGCCCACGGGCUCAACCGUGGAGGGUCAUUGGAAACUGGGGGACUUGAGUACAGAAGAGGAAAGCGGAAUUCCAAGUGUAGCGGUGAAAUGCGUAGAGAUUUGGAGGAACACCAGUGGCGAAGGCGGCUUUCUGGUCUGUAACUGACGCUGAGGCGCGAAAGCGUGGGGAGCAAACAGGAUUAGAUACCCUGGUAGUCCACGCCGCAAACGAUGAGUGCUAAGUGUUAGGGGGUUUCCGCCCCUUAGUGCUGCAGCUAACGCAUUAAGCACUCCGCCUGGGGAGUACGGCCGCAAGGCUG
rnacentral:rRNA from 1 species